AGAGUUUGAUCCUGGCUCAGGAUGAACGCUAGCUACAGGCUUAACACAUGCAAGUCGAGGGGAAACGACAUCGAAAGCUUGCUUUUGAUGGGCGUCGACCGGCGCACGGGUGAGUAACGCGUAUCCAACCUGCCCAUCACUUGGGGAUAACCUUGCGAAAGUAAGACUAAUACCCAAUGACGUCUCUAGAAGGCAUCUGAAAGAGAUUAAAGAUUUAUCGGUGAUGGAUGGGGAUGCGUCUGAUUAGCUUGUUGGCGGGGUAACGGCCACAAAGCAACGAUCAGUAGGGGUUCUGAGAGGAAGGUCCCCCACGAUUGGAACUGACGACACGGUCCAAACUCCGUACGGGAGGCA
rnacentral:rRNA from 1 species